GAGGGGUAGGGCAGCAAUGCCUGAGACCGGCGCACGGGUGCGUAACGCGUAUGCAAUCUACCUUGUACAGGGGAAUAGCCCAGAGAAAUUUGGAUUAAUGCCCCAUAGUAUAAUUGAAUGGCAUCAUUUGAUUAUUAAAGUUCAGGCGGUACAAGAUGAGCAUGCGUCCCAUUAGCUAGUUGGUAUGGUAACGGCAUACCAAGGCAAUGAUGGGUAGGGGUCCUGAGAGGGAGAUCCCCCACACUGGUACUGAGACACGGACCAGACUCCUACGGGAGGCAGCAGUGAGGAAUAUUGGGCAAUGGGCGCUAGCCUGACCCAGCCAUGCCGCGUGCAGGAAGACGGUCCUAUGGAUUGUAAACUGCUUUUGUACGGGAAGAAACCCUACUACGAGUAGUAGAUUGACGGUACCGUACGAAUAAGGAUCGGCUAACUCCGUGCCAGCAGCCGCGGUAAUACGGAGGAUCCAAGCGUUAUCCGGAAUCAUUGGGUUUAAAGGGUCCGUAGGCGGUUUUAUAAGUCAGUGGUGAAAUCCAGCAGCUCAACUGUUGAACUGCCAUUGAUACUGUAGAACUUGAAUGAUUAGGAAGUAACUAGAAUAUGUAGUGUAGCGGUGAAAUGCUUAGAUAUUACAUGGAAUACCAAUUGCGAAGGCAGGUUACUACUAAUUGAUUGACGCUGAUGGACGAAAGCGUGGGGAGCGAACAGGAUUAGAUACCCUGGUAGUCCACGCCGUAAACGAUGGAUACUAGCUGUUGGGCGCAAGUUCAGUGGCUAAGCGAAAGUGAUAAGUAUCCCACCUGGGGAGUACGUUCGCAAGAAUG
rnacentral:rRNA from 1 species